rnacentral:rRNA from 1 species
ACAGUCACACAUUAGAUACCCUGUAGUCCCAGCCGUAAACUAUGCGCGUUAGGUGUAUCGGUGACCACGAGUCACCGAGGUGCCGAAGGGAAACCGUGAAACGUGCCGCCUGGGAAGUACGGUCGCAAGGCUGAAACUUAAAGGAAUUGGCGGGGAGCACCACAACGGGUGGAGCCUGCGGUUUAAUUGGACUCAACGCCGGGAAGCUCACCGGAUAAGACAGCGGAAUGAUUGCCGGGCUGAAGACUCUGCAUGACUAGCUG